GGCAGGGUAGCCUAGUGGUUAGAGUGGAGUGGGUAGAGUGGAGCCUAGUGGUUAGAGUGGAGGGGCGGCAGGGUAGCCUAGUGGUUAGAGUGGAGGUGCGGCAGGGUAGCCUAGUGGUUAGAGUGGAGGGGCGGCAGGGUAGCCUAGUGGUUAGAGUGGAGGGGCGGCAGGGUAGCCUAGUGGUUAGAGUGGAGGGGCGGCAGGGUAGCCUAGUGGUUAGAGUGGAGGGGCGGCAGGGUGGCCUAGUGGUUAGAGUGGUGGGGCGGCAGGGUGGCCUAGUGGUUAGAGUGGAGGGGCGGCAGGGUGGCCUAGUGGUUAGAGCGGAGGGGCGGCAGGGUGGCCUAGUGGUUAGAGCGGAGGGGCGGCAGGGUGGCCUAGUGGUUAGAGCGGAGGGGCGGCAGGGUGGCCUAGUGGUUAGAGCGGAGGGGCGGCAGGGUGGCCUAGUGGUUAGAGCGGAGGGGCGGCAGGGUGGCCUAGUGGUUAGAGCGGAGGGGCGGCAGGGUGGCCUAGUGGUUAGAGGGGCGGCGGGUGGGGGCGGCAGGGUGGCCUAGUGGUUAGAGCGGAG
ensembl:lncRNA